AUGGUCCGGGACAUAUCUUCUAAUGAUUUGAUCAGGAUAUUAUUUAAAUAGAUAUGAAUUAUCCCAAAUAAAAUACUUUACUUGGGCAAAAAAUUUAUGUUUGUCCUUAGUGGUCCAGUGAGAGGAAAUCCUACCAAUGGCUAAGUAAUUGACAAUAUCAGCAUAUCAUGGUUCUUUGAUCAUGGACAUAAGUUGUUUGUCAAAAAAAGAUUC
rnacentral:lncRNA from 1 species